GACAUCCUGGUGAUCCCAUGGUGACAUCCUGGUGAUCCCAUGGUGACCUCCUGGUGAUCCCAUGGUGAUGUUAUGGUGAUCCCAUGGUGACAUUCAGGUGAUCCUAUGGGGACCUCCUGGUGAUCCCAUAAUGAGCUCCUGGUGAUCCCAUGGGGACAUCCUGGUGCUGCCAUGGUGACUCCUGGUGAUCCCAUGGGGACAUUCAGGUGAUGCCAUGGUGACAUCCUGGUGAUCCCAUAGUGAGGUCCUGGUGAUCCCAUGGAGACAUUCAGGUGAUCCCAUGGGGACGUUCAGGUGAUCCCAUGGUGGAAUCCUGGUGAUCCCAUAGUGAGAUCCUGGUGAUCCCGUGGUGACAUUCAGGCGAUCCCAUGGUAACAUCCUGGUGAUCCCAUGGUGACAUUCAGGUGAUCCCAUGGGGACAUUCAGGUGAUCCCAUGGUGACAUCCUGGUGCUGCCAUGGUGACAGCCUGGUGAUCCCAUCGCGACAUCCUGCUGAUCCCAUGUUGACCUCCUGGUGAUCCCAUGGUGAUGUUAUGGUGAUCCCAUGGGGACAUUCAGGUGAUCCCAUGGUGACAUUCAGGUGCUGCCAUGGUGACAUCCUGGUGCUGCCAUGGUGACAUUCAGGUGAUCCCGUGGGGACAUUCAGGUGAUCCCAUAAUAAGAUCCUGGUGAUCCCAUGGUCACUCCUGGUGACCCCCUGGUGACUCCCAGUGCUGCCAUGGUGACCUCCUGGUGAUCCCAUGGCGACUCCCAGUGCUGCCAUGGUGACUCCUGGUGAUCCCAUAAUGAGAUCCUGGUGAUCCCAUGGUGAUUCCCGGUGAUCCCAUGGUGACUCCUGGUGAUCCCAUGGUGACUCCCAGUGAUCCCAUUGUGAGUCCUGGUGAUCCCAUGCUGACCUCCUGGUGACCCCAUGGUGACAUCCUGGUGAUCCCAUGGUGACACCUGGUGAUCCCAUGGUGACCUUAUGGUGCUGCCAUGGU
ensembl:lncRNA